rnacentral:rRNA from 1 species
UACAGAGACCGCGAGCGUUAUUCGGAUUCACUGGGCGUAAAGGGCGCGUAGGCGGCCACCGCAAGUCGACUGUGAAAUCUCCGGGCUUAACCCGGAAAGGUCAGCCGAUACUGCGGGGCUAGAGUGCAGAAGGGGCAACUGGAAUUCUCGGUGUAGCGGUGAAAUGCGUAGAUAUCGAGAGGAACACCUGCGGCGAAGGCGGGUUGCUGGGCUGACACUGACGCUGAGGCGCGAAAGCUAGGGGAGCGAACGGG